CCUGCCUGUCUGUACGUGUGUACUGGU
rnacentral:piRNA from 1 species